rnacentral:rRNA from 1 species
AUGAACGCUAGCGGCAGGCCUAAUACAUGCAAGUCGAGGGAGAAUGUUGGAUUCGUCUGACAUGAAACCGGCGCACGGGUGCGUAACACGUAUGCAACCUACCUUUAACUGGGGUAUAGCUCAGAGAAAUCUGAAUUAAUCCCCCAUAAGACUACGACAUGGCAUCAUGAUGUAGUUAAAGCUCCGGCGGUUAAGGAUGGGCAUGCGGUACAUUAGCUAGUUGGUGAGGUAAGAGCUCACCAAGGCGAUGAUCUGUAACUGGUCUGAGAGGACGACCAGUCACACUGGGACUGAGACACGGCCCAGACUCCUACGGGAGGCAGCAGUGGGGAAUAUUGGACAAUGGGGGCAACCCUGAUCCAGCGAUGCCGCGUGGGUGAAGAAGGCCUUCGGGUUGUAAGGCCCUUUAGGUCGGGAAGAAGGUUAGUGGAGGAAAUGCCAUUAAUUUGACGGUACCGACAGAAUAAGCACCGGCAAACUCUGUGCCAGCCGCCGCAGUAA